rnacentral:rRNA from 1 species
UACGAAGGGGGCUAGCGUUGUUCGGAAUUACUGGGCGUAAAGCGUGCGCAGGCGGCUUCUCAAGUCAGGGGUGAAAGCCCAGAGCUCAACUCUGGAAUUGCCUUUGAGACUGUGAAGCUUGAGUACGAGAGAGGUGAGUGGAAUUCCCAGUGUAGAGGUGAAAUUCGUAGAUAUUGGGAAGAACACCGGUGGCGAAGGCGGCUCACUGGCUCGUAACUGACGCUCAUGCACGACAGCGUGGGGAUCAAACAGG